UCCAGAGACUGCGAACGUUAUUCGGAUUCACUGGGCGUAAAGGGUGCGCAGGCGGCCGCGUGUGUGGAAUGUUAAAGCCCGAGGCUCAACCUCGGUGAUGCGUUUCAAACUACGUGGCUAGAGUGUGGGAGAGGGGAAUGGAAUUCACGGUGUAGCAGUGAAAUGCGUAGAUAUCGUGAGGAACACCAGCGGCGAAGGCGAUUCCCUGGACCAUUACUGACGCCCAGGCACGAAAGCGUGGGGAUAAAAAGGG
rnacentral:rRNA from 1 species